rnacentral:rRNA from 1 species
CUAUACAUGCAGUCGAGCGAAUGGAUUAGAGAGCUUGCUCUCAUGAAGUUAGCGGCGGACGGGUGAGUAACACGUGGGUAACCUGCCCAUAAGACUGGGAUAACUCCGGGAAACCGGGGCUAAUACCGGAUAAUAUUUUGAACUGCAUGGUUCGAAAUUGAAAGGCGGCUUCGGCUGUCACUUAUGGAUGGACCCGCGUCGCAUUAGCUAGUUGGUGAGGUAACGGCUCACCAAGGCAACGAUGCGUAGCCGACCUGAGAGGGUGAUCGGCCACACUGGGACUGAGACACGGCCCAGACUCCUACGGGAGGCAGCAGUAGGGAAUCUUCCGCAAUGGACGAAAGUCUGACGGAGCAACGCCGCGUGAGUGAUGAAGGCUUUCGGGUCGUAAAACUCUGUUGUUAGGGAAGAACAAGUGCUAGUUGAAUAAGCUGGCACCUUGACGGUACCUAACCAGAAAGCCACGGCUAACUACGUGCCAGCAGCCGGCCGGUAAUAAAA